rfam:Acidobacteria bacterium RIFCSPLOWO2_02_FTLL_68_18 rifcsplowo2_02_scaffold_8910, whole genome shotgun sequence.
CCCGGUGGUCAUAGGGGCAGGGUCACACCCGUUCCCAUUCCGAACACGGAAGUUAAGCCUGCCACCGCCGAUGGUACUGCGUGCGUAGGUGCGUGGGAGAGUAGGUCGCUGCCGGGA